rnacentral:rRNA from 1 species
AACGUAGGGGGCGAGCGUUAAUCGGAUUUACUGGGCGUAAAGCGAGCGCAGGUGGUUUAAUAAGUCUGAUGUAAAAGGCAGUGGCUCAACCAUUGUGUGCAUUGGAAACUGUUAGACUUGAGUGCAGGAGAGGAGAGUGGAAUUCCAUGUGUAGCGGUGAAAUGCGUAGAUAUAUGGAGGAACACCGGUGGCGAAAGCGGCUCUCUGGCCUGUAACUGACACUGAGGCUCGAAAGCGUGGGGAGCAAACAGG